UUCCACCAGUUUUCCGCCCUUUUCUUUCUUUCUUUUUUUUUUUUUUUUUUUUUGGAUAAUGCACUCUAUCGAUUCACACCGCUGCCUUGCUGCGUCAGGCUGGCAGCAGAAGAAACGAGAUUUUUCUAACGCGCUGUCAAGAGCAGGACUCUAAACGGCAGUAACCUGCCUCACAGAAACCUGCUCACAGUCUCAAAGUCUCCGGGUGGUGAGUCAAAGCAACCCGCUAAUAACCCAAAUUUGUUUUGUCAGUCGUAGGCACAGCCCAGCCGUAUCUCCUCCCUUGCACGGAGCUUUGCUGGUCCGAAAAUCUGCUCCAGAACUUUUGGAGAAAACACUAAAGCAGCACAAGGCCGUUUAACCUCACGACUUUAGCCCUGCAGACAAGGUGCAAGGCAGAAGGAUGGAAACACGCCCUGGACUCAAGGCUUCCGUGACAGGAGGGAGCCUUUUGGGUCUGGGGCGGAUUCCUGGGCAGUUCUAAGGCAGCGGAAAGUACGCCCCAGGUGGGGUUUACUCUACUCGGGUGCAAAAUAGUAAUGGUAACAUAAGUAUCGAGGCUUGAUUGUACAGCAGCAGCAAGACCUUCUCUGAAGGACACACAUCCUGGGCCCGUGCUCAGUCGCACUUGUGACUGAUGCCUCCCUCAGGAGCUUAGUGCCCCAUACUUCAUCUCCAGGCAUGAUUCUUCACUGUCUAAAAACAUCGGGAGCAAACUGUAAAACAGUAAGAGCUACAUCAUGUAGAAGGGAUCAUCUUCCCAACUCCAUUCCUAGAAAUCUUAUGUUCAAUAUUUGUGGUGGCACAAGUAGCCCCUGGUUGCAUAGGACAUGCUGGAUUCAGGAUUGAUUCUGAAGUCACACUUUGACGCAAACAUCUCUAGCAUUGUAUUUUGCACUAAGAGCAGAAUUAAACAUAGCACAGAUAUGUAUUUGUAUUUCCAUAGAGUAUUCAGAAUUUAACUUUCUAGAAAACUGUAUACGAAUGGGUAAAUGCCUCGAUAGCGAAGAUAACAGGCAUACGCUGUCAAAUACCUAAUCCAAUUUCAUGUUCAUUGUGGCAACCGUUUUUAACUGAAGGGAAAAGACUGCAAAAUGUACUCUUGCUAGAAGAGAAAUGGUUAAGGCACAUACAGCACAGAGUAUUCACACAGGAACACCUCGUAUCUGUGGCAAAAAAUUACUGAUGCUCCUGAGAGAAACAAAUUGUUCAGAAAAGGACAAUGAAACUGUUUCAGAAUGCAACAUCUCAUUAGAGCGUUUCUCCAACACAGUGAGGGAAAAGUGGUAGUGUACACACACAGUAAACACCUUUCAACUGAGACUGAAAGUAAAAGUUGAAUUUUACCCAAGUGGAAGUAUUAGAUUAAGCAGAUUCUCAGGUACAGGAACAGAUCGUUGCCCUCAAGUUCUGGACUGCUCUGCUGUGUGAACACAGCUAUUUCCCACUGCCUAGAAGACUACAUGAGUGAGGAAUGAACAGCAAAUGAUUCCAGGUCAGGCCGUGGUCUGUUGCCACACUGCAAGAAGGCAGUGCAAGCACACAGAGCUGUGUGAUCCAUGUGCGAUCCGUGUGCGAUCCGUGUGCAAUCCGUGUGCGAUCCAUGUGCAAUCCGUGUGUGAUUCGUGUGCGAUCCGUGUGCGAUCCGUGUGCGAUGCGUGUGCGAUCCGUGUGCGAUCCGUGUGUGAUCCGUGUGCGAUCCAUGUGUGAUCUGUGCGUGAUCCGUGUGCGAUCCGUGGCCCUGGGCAGUGCGUGCCCCCUCUGGCUGGGCACAGCUCCUGCCUGGCAGUGCCUCUCCCUGCCCGAGCUGUGCCCGUGCCAGGAGCAGGAGGCUCAGGUGGGAGGCACUGGGUUAGGAGACCUGGGCUCAGGAGAUGAGCAGAUAAUGGGGAUGUCAAUAGCCAUGAUUUUAAGUAUUCUGCUGUUUCCAACACAAUUUCUUCUGAAAGUAAAAGAACAGGCACAACAGUAAUACCUCAAAAUACUCCUUUCUGACAUCACUGGCUCAGAAAGUGAAUGUAAAAUUGAAACAGACUCAGUCAGCAUUAAAAAAAAAUUACAUUUAAGCUAGGCAAAAUGUUCCUAAAGUAGUAUUUGGUGAGAAGUUUUGAAAUACUGUCUGUUUAUACUACCAUGAAACUAAAACAGAACUUCAAUAUUUUCAACAAUGAAAAAGAAUUCCAAUUCCUGGCUAUAAUCUACCCCUACAUAGUACCCAAAGUAAGUCUUAUGCAAAACUAAUAUGACUGCAGUGAAAGGAAUAAGUGAUCUAAAAUGGUCUAAAGAAACAAGAGAAACUGAGAUAGAUAUGCUAAUAUAUUUUUCUUUUUAAAUAAAAUAUUAUGGUUUAUGUGAUACUGUACCAGAGAGAAUUGUACAAAGUAAAGAAUUAGGCAGGUGUGUGUUUUUCUUUCUCAACACCUCUUCAACAUAGUUUAUUAAAUAAGUAAACUUGAGUAAUCUCUGCUAUACUUUCAAUCCACACACAUGACAUCAUUAUGUGUUUUUUAUUACAAUGCAUUUAUCUCACAAGUACCUUAAAAAUGGAAAAUGAGCCAAAGUAUUUAUAACCUUCUGUACAUGAUGCUUGAAAGGAGUCCAACGAAUUCUUCUCUCAAGCCAUUCUCUUAAAGGUCUUUCAGUAAAACUAUGGCUUUGAAAUACCACUUUUAUUUUUUUUUUCUUUCAAAGUAGAUGGAAGUAUGAAGUAUUUGCAAUUUCGAGUAAGUAUUCUUUUUUCCCUGCUGGUUUAAUAAAAGCAAGUAUCUAUCUACAGUAAGUGGAGUACUCCAAUAAUUUUCCUGGUCCUGGGUAGCCUCAGUUUCAAAGAAACUUUUCAAAAAGCCUUGUUUCAUAAAGGUUUGAAUGUAUGCCUACUGCUGCCAACAAUUAUGAUUCAGGAAGCAACACACAAAUGGUGACUCUGUUCCAUCUUCAGCUAUACUUUCUUCUGACUCAUCAUCACAAUUCAAUUUUAAAAGCCAUUAAGAACACUCAAACUGCUUUCCUGAUGUAGGAACAGAAAUUGUAUUGAGUGAAUCAGUCAUAUACAGACUUAAAAGUGUGCCUGCACAAAUUCUCACUGCUGCCAGAAACCUUUCAACUUGCUUAGGUAAAUAUGAAUGUUCCAAGCCUGGCUGAUUCCCACACAAGCCUUGCAACUUUUUUUUCACUUUUUGUUGCUGUUGUUGUUGUUUUGUUCCGUACCAGGCCAAACUUUGUAUCCUGACAGCCUUUGCAAAGGCUGUGUCAGUUCAGUAAGGUGGAAAUAGUAUCUGAGGUGCAGCACAAAGGCACUGGAAGAUCUACUCCAGCAAACCACAGGGUCAGGAAGGAACCUCAGAGGUAAGACAAACAGACCAGAUCUCUUAACACCCAAAUUCUCAGGUAGGCAGCCAAAUCCUCCACAAGCAGCACACCUCAGCAAACCCCCUGUCCCUGGCCACACCGUUCCCUCCCUCUGGCAGAGACAGCAAGCAUGGGAGGGCAGGGAAAUGAGCGAGAAGGGAUGGAGGGAGCCAAGGCUGGACUGAAACUCUGCUCCAGUUUUACAAAGCAGAGUCAACAUUAAAAAGACCUGACAUUUGCUUCUACAAUCCAGGAUCCACGUCUAUUGCCCCAGCCCUCCCCACAGGCAAUGGGAAGGGGUUUACCCUGGGCAGUGUGUGGGAGAUACAACCAAACUCUCAGGAGGUUCAAAAAUAACUCUUACCCACAAACUUUAGAGCACUCAAGUAGAGUGAGGUGCUUGGCAAAUUUUAAAACAUCCAGAUGAAGUAAGGCACUUUGCAGUCUUUAACUCAGCAAACUUAAAUGGCAGCCAAGUUGAGGUUGUGUCUGUCUUUAGCUGGACACCACAAGUGUUUAAUACUGGAAAUUUUUGGUUAAGCUUUAAGAAGAAGUUAGAACAAAGUGAGAGAAGGAAAAAGAAGAGGGAGAGGUAAUCUUUCACCAUCCUAGGACCCACUAUUCCUCCAGUGUCCUACGCUGUGUCUUUUGGCUUCUGUGAGAGCUGGGAGGAACAAGAGGAAAGGGAGGAAUACAACAUCUCUGCUGUCUCCUGUUAAGAUUGUCUCGGUCCCUUUCCCCCAGAGCACAUGUGGAGGAUGGAAGGGCACAAAACAAAAAGUGGAAUACAGAAGGAGAAAAGACAGAGCACCAGGCAGCUCUGGUUUAGAAAAGAGUCUAAAACCUCCUUGAAUCAAUAGAAAGUCCCUUUAAUCGACUGCAAUGGGCUUUGAAUUAGACCUAUAUUCUACUUAUCAAGUACAGCUGCUGAGAAUCAAUAAUAUUUGGACUUACCCUUCAAAGCAACAACUACACUAAUAACUUCUGGCUAAGAAAAAGUACAAUUAAUAGCAUAUUAAUUCAUUAGAGUUUAUCUCACUGAGGUCCCCUUCUCAUCAGGUGGUAGAGUCAGACAGCAUUUAGAAGUGAUUACACAUGAAUAUCCUGUAUAAGUGAGGCCAUAAAGAAAAUACUUUUGUUCUUAACAUUAAGUCAGAUCAAAUAUUCAUUGAUAUCUACAUCUCUUAGCAAGUAUCUCAAGCAGAGAUCAAUAAACACUUAUUAGUCACUGACUACGUUUCCUGCAGUAAAGGAGGGAAUUUCAGCCAGCAGAUCAGAGAAGCCAACCAGCCAGGGCAGCUGGAGUUUAGUGCUUGCAUGCCAGAUGAUUAUUUAUCUUCUCAUUGUCUCAGUUGCCACAACUAGAGAACUGCAGAUCAAAGGAUUAUUUAAAAACUAUAAUUAUUCCUUUAAAAUACAAAUCAUUAUUUCAAAAUACAAGUAUGGAUGGUUGCAAGGAAAAAAAAUCACAACUGCAAGUUUUUGGUUUGUGAAAGUUUUUCAGGCCCAAGUUAGGAAAUGCAUAACUUUGUGAAAUGGGAAAUAAAAUAAAAUUAUUAAACUUUUCAAAGAUUUACAUGUGCUUCUUUGAUGUUUCUGUGGAUUGUUGAAGUCUCUUACUUUACCUGAAGUAUUUUACCACCUCAAAUCACUUACAAUAUUUCAAAUAAUAUUGUAGCAGAAAAACAGGUAUUUGAAUUGUUUAGAGAGCAGAGACAACCAUUAAUACUGUUGAAUUAUGUUUCAGCAAAAAGGUUGCUACUGCUUUAAAGAAAGUAUUCCAUAACCUUCCAAAACAACCCGUGUGGAAUGGACAAUAUAGGAUUACUUUUUGGCAGAGGGAAUAUCCUGUUGCUAUUGACUGCACUGUUACAGUAUCCUCACAUAGUGGUACACAGUUAUUGUGAGAUAAAGACCACGUUGAAAAACAAACUGAUUGCAGCCCUGAAAACAGUAAAGGAACUGUCCAGUCAUAUAAAAAAUCACUUCUUUAGGAGAACAAUGACUGGAACAGUGUCACUUCUAGAUUAGCAUUAAAGAAUUAAAGUUUUAACUGCAGCUAAGAAAUCGAUGCAGUGUAUUCCUUUCUUCCAGGGAUGCCAUUUUAAAGCAAGACAGGAAAACUUAAUUAGAGAUGGUGCUGUAUAUGGUUAUAUAUAUAAAAAUACAUAUAUAUAUAAAAUUACAUGUACAUAUAUAUAAUUUAUAUAAUCUGUUGAUAUAAAGCUGUGGUUUAUGUUUCUGGUUUUCUCCUCCAGCUUUCUCCACAUUCAUACAUUUGUUGAAUUUAUACUGCUGAAACUACUAUGAGGUGGAAAAAAAGCUAUUGGCAUCUACUUUUUACACGGAAUUUACAAGGACAAUGUCUACAGAAAGAAAAGUGCACACAUUGCAAUAUAAAGCACCCAGAGGAAGAUGUGGAGAUGUUUCUGGAGCAAUCAGUGAAAUGUCUUUCUGAGAUUUUGUGACUUUAAUUCAACAACCCCCAAUGCAAGAGCACAUUGACCCUUGAGAGCUGUGUGGUACCCCGGGGGAAGUGAGAGAACGACCUCUGCUUCGGGAACAAUUUUCUGAGACAGUGUGUUUAUCAAACGGCUUCUCUGCUUUCAUGAAAACAAUUUAUUUUCACUGAACUCCUCAAGAUAAGCAUUGAAGUCAGGAAGAAUGUACAAUGACAUUUAUAAUUACAUUCAAGAAACAAAUAUUUUGCUAAAGAAAGGGUUUGGAUUUUUAUCGGUUUUAGAGAUACAAAAUAUUUUCUUUCUUCCACCAUACCAUUUAAUGAUAUUGUCUCCCUGAAAUCACAAAGUAUAUUUUCAUAUGCAUGGAAAGAAAAGCCCAGGACAGUAAUCUGCUCAUAGAAAGGCUACAGUAUGCAUCCCAAACAAUGAAAGCUGUAGCAUAAUCCUUACAACCAAAUUGCCUUCCCUGCCUCACUCUUUGGAAAUAAUCUGCAGAAAAGGGCAAUUUAAGCAGGAGGGUACAUGCCCCUUGCAGAGGCUCCUCCAAACAACCCCUCUGUGCUCAAUCCUGGAAAAGAGACAAAACAGUUGUCUCUUGGGAUGGCACAUCCUUCCUCCCACACGUUCCCCUUGCUCAGAGACAUUUCUUGAGCUCCAAAGCUCAGUGCAGAGCCUGCAGACACUGGGCAUGGUGCCUCCCAUUCUCUGGGGAACUAGAGGAGCCUGCUAGAAAAUCCCCCUCUGUUUCCCUUAUGGAUUGGGCCCUGGACCUGUUCUCAACCACCACCAACAGAAGCUCAGUCGUGCCAGACAAUUACUGCUUCCUGCUGUAUUCUCAACUACCCCUAAAAUCAAGGUAGUCCACAGUGAAUCUCAUCUUUCAGGACAAUGCAGCCACAGCUUUAGCCAUACAGUGCCUGUAUUUUGAAAUGCAAAUUCAAUAACUACCUAUGCAAAAGCUGCCCAUGAAUAUAUUUAGGAGUUCCAUUUGGGCUGCCUGGGAACGUGGGGUUUACAGGAUUAAAAAGGCAUACUGCUAUCACUCCAAUGAAUGCCCUUUAAUUUGUGUGAAUUCAUUUUAGAAUAAAAAAUUUAAGAUCUGGUUUAUUCCAUGUCAGUCAAACAUCCUAGCUUUUCAUUAUCCCAUUUUUUUUCAGUGCAUGUAGGUAGUUCUCAUCAUAAAGAUCCUCUGAUAAAGUUCUCCUCCAGAGACAUACUCUUUUUGUAGGCUCAGCUAGUGAAGAAAUAUCAUUCAUUUGUAAUACUCAAAGAGAAGUUGAAAAAAAAAUCAAAAGCAGCUGAAAAGAGAUUGUAUUUCACUAAUAUACACCAAGGCUUUAUUUAAAAUAUACAGUGUUAAAUUUGAUCAAAUAUCAACCCACCAUUCAGAGUGAAAUAAUCUCUUUUAAUUUGCAUGUAUCUGUGUGCGCCAAAGAGAAGUGUGUUUGCUUUCAAGCAGGUGCACAUCCUGCUAUGACUAAAUCUCUAACUCAUCAAAUUGCUUUACCAGUGUGGGACAUGCCCUUUUUCUGGAACAGCUUCAAGUAUUUUCCCCAGCAUUUCAGCCACCUGUUUACUGAGUUCAUACUCCAAAGGAGAUGCAUGCAAUUAGAAACAAGGAAAUGAAAAUAAAUGACCUUGUUUGUUAUAAAUAACAAAGAGACUCAGCAAAAUUAAUGCAGUGAAGCCUGACCUUCUGACCUGAAAGAAAGAAUCACCUCAUUCCUUUGUAGCAGGCUCACAAUGCUCCAGCACCAGGCAUUGUUGUGCAGCUUUGCCUCUUUUGAUGGAUCUUAAAGGAGUAUAUUCUAAAUAUUAAAUGUUUUACAAGUUAGAUUAGGAAAUUUGCAUAAAAAGAAUGUUGAAACAAAGUCAAGAGAGCAAUGAUAAAGAUUAUCACUGCUUUAUUUAGAGAAUCCAGGUAAGCCGUGUGUAUGGCUGUUCACUAUAAUACAGUUUUUCAAUUGAAAAAUAAAUAUGGCAUUCCAGGUGCUAAAAAGCCAUGAAAUGUCUCCUUCGGUGUUCAGUGAAUUGACGAGGGAGAAAUUUUUUAAUUAGCCAACUCCAGGAAAAGGAAACAUUUUUCUUUUGUUGAUUGUUUGUGCUAUGAUGGUCUGACUUUUGAAAAAAAAGCAAAGUACUUCCACAACUACUGCCAAAACUAUAUACUUUUUUUCUCAUCCUUUAAUUAGGCAAGCAGAAAUGCUUUCUUUUGUAUGAAGCUUACUGAAUAAUGUUUCUAUGGGUUACAUCUUCACUUUUAAUUGAUUCAUGUCAGUCUGGAACAGUGUCCAGCUGCAACAGAGGGCAAGGUGUUAGAAAUUUGUUUCCCUGCUUGUCUUUGGAGAAAAUGAGAACACAGCGUUGUUUUCAUGGCAGCCCUCACAAAAAGAGCAGUGUGUAAUUACAGUGCUGGUUCCCAUCUUGUCAGUCUCCAAAACAAGUCUGUUAUUAAUGAAGCAGCUCAGAACCGUUGCAGAAAUGAAAGGAAAAUGCGUUUGCAUCUCACUGAAAGCAGCUCCCACAACAGGUAUUGUUUGAUAAAGAUUUUUCCAAAGCUUGUUUUGUGGCUUUUCUUCCCCUUCUCUCACUUUCAGUGACAUCCAUCCAGCUGCUGAGGUACACAACACCCUUCACAGCAACCACAGCCUCAACCCUGCUAGUUCCUCUCCCGCCCAGAGCGCACCGAUGGCAGUGGGGAUGGGGCAGCUCUCCCUGAGUGCCCAGGGAGGAGGGCACAGCCCAGGGACACAGCCAGCCACGGGGGCAGGGGCACAGGAGGCAGGGCACUCACUGGGAGGCACUGGGAAAUCAGUCCCAGACACAGGAGGCAGCUCCGGGGCUGGAGCAGCAAAAGGCAGCUCAUGCAGGACCAGGACCAGGACCAGGACCAGGACCAGGACCAGGAGCAUGAGGGGGGCAGUGGCUCUUCUCCUCCCCUCCUCUCACCCUCCUUCCAUCAUUCUGCAUCCAAUAGAGCCACUCCACCCCC